rnacentral:rRNA from 1 species
CAGCAUGGUGUAGCAAUACACUGAUGGCGACCGGCAAACGGGUGCGGAACACGUACGCAACCUUCCUUUAACUGGAGAAUAGCCCGGGGAAACCCGGAUUAAUACUCCGUAACAUUAUGAAGUGGCAUCACUUUAUAAUUAUAGCUCCGGCGGUUGAAGAUGGGCGUGCGUCUGAUUAGGUAGUUGGCGGGGUAACGGCCCACCAAGCCUACGAUCAGUAACUGGUGUGAGAGCACGACCAGUCACACGGGCACUGAGACACGGGCCCGACUCCUACGGGAGGCAGCAGUAAGGAAUAUUGGUCAAUGGACGCAAGUCUGAACCAGCCAUGCCGCGUGGAGGAUGAAGGUCCUCUGGAUUGUAAACUUCUUUUAUUUGGGAAGAAACCCCCGAUUUCUAUUGGGGUUGACGGUACCAGAUGAAUAAGCACCGGCUAACUCCGUGCCAGCGGCCGCGGUAAUACGGAGGGUGCAAGCGUUAUCCGGAUUCACUGGGUUUAAAGGGUGCGUAGGCGGGUUGGUAAGUCCGUGGUGAAAUCUCCAAGCUUAACUUGGAAACUGCCGUGGAUACUAUCAAUCUUGAAUAUAGUGGAGGUGAGCGGAAUAUGUCAUGUAGCGGUGAAAUGCUUAGAUAUGACAUAGAACACCCAUUGCGAAGGCAGCUCGCUACACUAUUAUUGACGCUGAGGCACGAAAGCGUGGGGAUCAAACAGGAUUAGAUACCCUGGUAGUCCACGCCCUAAACGAUGAUUACUCGACAUCAGCGAUACACUGUUGGUGUCUGAGCGAAAGCAUUAAGUAAUCCACCUGGGAAGUACGACCGCAAGGUUGAAACUC